UCCCCUUCUUUUCGCAGGGAAAAAAAUACACGACUCUCAUCCCGUGGAUCAGAUCCCGAAUCGGUACGAGAUCGACCACAAGUGACCUAUGCCUCUCCCGCGAUCUGGACGGGCCGGCGGCGCGGUGGCAGGGGCGGAUGGACAGCGGCGGCGCAGCCAGCCGAGCAGAUAAAGGACACGCUCCCUCCCUCCUCCCUCUCCAAUCGGCGGCAGAGAGACCAGCCGAGCGGCGCGGGAUAGACCCAGAGACCCCACCUCCGUCCGAGCUCGGCCGGCGUCGCCCUUGAGACGUCAUCUCUGGCGCCCUCUCCAUCUCCGGAUGCUUCGCACUGGAGAAAGAGAUGACAUGAUGAUGAAGCUUUUUUAGAUCUUGUCGUCUUCCAGCUUAUAUGAUGGGAGAUCAAGGAUGAACCGACCAAUGUUUGAUCAGUUGUCUACCAAGUUAUUUUGAUCAGGCUAUUCUAUGCUGCGUUUUUGCUAUUUAUCCGUGAAUAUAUAUGGUGUAAUAUUGGCAAAAAGACUAUUAAACUGGUGUUUGGUUCAGCCAUGUAGUACAAGCUGGCUUGGUUUAGUCAUGUUGCUACUGCUACUUU